UGGACGGAGCAGCGGUAUUUAUAUGUGCUGUUCUCUCGCUGAGGGAUCAGCAAGAUGGAGGUGGAGAACCGGACCAGAGGAGGAAACAUGUCUGAGGCCACACACAGCAGGGAGCUCUUCCCCUCCAGGUGGGCUCUGGAUGCUGCUGGGUACACGCUCACCACGGGCUUCACUAUCUGCUCAUCUGAAGUUUGACAGCAGCAACAAGCAGCACAGACAUACAUUCACACAGUCAACAGCAGCUUACAGCACUGCACUGCAUUCAGUCUGAUCCUGGAAACUACAUGGACUCUGAUCACUAAACUACUCAUCAAUACAGCACAAAGUUCAAUUCUUCAAUCUGCCUUCAAGAAAAGAAAAAGUAUUUUAUAUAUUAUGGUUAAUGUUAUUUUUUAUAGCAAAGGACAAAUUGAUCUUAACAUCAACACAACAGCCGAUGGAUGAUCACAAUAUAUUAGAUAUAUUAUAUAUUUACCAAUAUUCUUCACUCUAACUGCCAGAUAUCUACGGAUAUGAGACUUUAUUGAUCCUUCAUGGGAGAAUAAUUAAUAUAACGUCAUAAAAUAAAAUAAAUCUGGAAAUGUAGAAAUCUUUAAAAGUGAACUCAAAGUGAACUCUGUAGCUGGUUUUUAACUAGGAAUGUUUUUUAUUUAUUAUUUACCUCAUUUUAUUCUGUUAUUUUAUCAGAUUUCCUUGUACAUUUCAUUGUAAAUGAAAAGUUUACAAGGGGUUAAAAGUUUAGUUUCUUUCUUUUUAAUCAAUCUUAUUGAUUUCAUUUGUCUUUAAUUAUGGUUUAUUAAUCUAUUUGAUCUAGUUUUUAGUAUAGCUUUAAACAAUAUUUUUUAUAUCUCUAAGAUUUAAUUAACUGUAUUUUAUUUUAUUUAUUUUUGUCUUUGUAUUUUUUGGAAAAUCUGAUUGAAUAGUUUUUGAAAUUAUAUGUUCAGUAUCUGAUACAUAUUUACCGCUAUAUACUAUAAAAUCUGUUUACUUUUACAAAUUGGAAAUUAUGUUAAACAUCAUAUAAAGUAUUAAGAUAGAAAUGUGUGUGUAUGCUAUUAUAUAUCAUCAUUAUAGAAAUAUAUUAAUGAAUGUGCAUCAUCCACUAAAAGACAGUACAAUUGUCAUUAUGUACAUUUUACCAUUAAAAUUUUAUUUUUUUCCUACACAACAUAUUUUAAGUUAAAUGCUUUUCAAACACAUUUACUGAUAUACAUUCAAUAAUAUUUAAUAUAUUAUAUUGUUUUAUAAAACAAGAGAUGGUUCUGAAUUACUGAGAUGAUCAAAUACUGUAUAUCUGUAACAUUGCCAAUAUUGCACAAUGAUCACUGACAUCAUUAAAAUAUAUGUUGAGGUGUAUUUGUUAUAAUUAAAUCCAACAAGGUCGACUUAUUUUGUGCUUUAGGAUUUGGCCUUGUUGGUGCAUUAAUGAGUUGCACAAGGUUUAAGGAGUCACAGAGUUCUUUAAAACAAUCUGCCAGCAGAUACUAAAACAUGUGUUUACUUUUACACUUUUGAAAUUAUAUUAAACAUCAUAAACUAUUUAGAUUAAAAGUCUAUCAAGAUACAAAUACAUAUUUAUACAUUAUAUAUCAGUCAUCUAUAUUCAUCAUAUAUAGAAAUAGAAAUAUAUAAAUUGGUACGCAUACAUUCUCUUUAUAUCCAGUAUCUGUUGGCCUUCAGCUAUGAGUAUAUUUUCCUUUUAAAGACAUUUGUACCAUCAUAAUCUUACCAUAAAAA
rnacentral:lncRNA from 15 species